rnacentral:rRNA from 1 species
AACGAACGCUGGCGGCAUGCCUAACACAUGCAAGUCGAACGAUCCCUUCGGGGAUAGUGGCGCACGGGUGCGUAACGCGUGGGAACCUGCCCUUAGGUUCGGAAUAACUCAGAGAAAUUUGAGCUAAUACCGGAUAAUGUCUUCGGACCAAAGAUUUAUCGCCUUUGGAUGGGCCCGCGUUGGAUUAGCGAGUUGGUGGGGUAAAGGCCUACCAAGGCGACGAUCCAUAGCUGGUCUGAGAGGAUGAUCAGCCACACUGGGACUGAGACACGGCCCAGACUCCUACGGGAGGCAGCAGUGGGGAAUAUUGGACAAUGGGCGAAAGCCUGAUCCAGCAAUGCCGCGUGAGUGAUGAAGGCCUUAGGGUUGUAAAGCUCUUUUACCCGGGAUGAUAAUGACAGUACCGGGAGAAUAAGCCCCGGCUAACUCCGUG